rnacentral:rRNA from 1 species
UACGUAGGGUGCGAGCGUUAAUCGGAAUUACUGGGCGUAAAGCGUGCGCAGGCGGUUCGCUGUGUCCGAUGUGAAAGCCCCGGGCUUAACCUGGGAAUGGCAUUGGAAACUGGCGGGCUUGAGUGCGGCAGAGGGGGGUGGAAUUCCGCGUGUAGCAGUGAAAUGCGUAGAGAUGCGGGGGAACACCGAUGGCGAAGGCGGUUCUCUGGGCAUUACCUGACGCUGAGGCACGAAAGCCAGGGGAGCAAACGGG